GUCCCCAUCGUCUAGAGGCCUAGGACACAUCCCUUUCACGGAUGCGACCGGGGUUCGAAUCCCCGUGGGGACGCCA
rnacentral:tRNA from 1 species